rnacentral:rRNA from 1 species
UACGGAGGGUGCAAGCGUUAUCCGGAAUCACUGGGUUUAAAGGGUACGCAGGCGGUUAUAUAAGUCAGACGUCAAAGGCUGUGGCUAAACCACGGUACGCGUUUGAAACUGUAUAACUUGAAUAUGUUUGAAGUGUGUAGAAUGCGUCAUGUAGCGGUGAAAUGCAUAGAUAUGACGUAGAAUACCAAAAGCGAAGGCAGCACACUAAGGCAUUAUUGACGCUGAGGUACGAAAGCGUGGGUAGCGAACAGG